rnacentral:rRNA from 1 species
AACGAACGCUGGCGGCGUGGAUAAGACAUGCAAGCCGAACGAUUACUAGUGGGUAGCAAUAUUCGCUAGUGAGAGUGGCGCAAGGGUGCGUAACACGUGGGUAAUUUGCCGUGAAGUCUGGGAUAACUUGCUGAAAGGCGAGCUAAUACCGGAUGUGAUUACUGGAAGGCAUCUUCUGGUACUUAAAGUCGGGGACCGUAAGGCCUGACGCUUCUCGAUAAGCCCGCGGCCUAUCAGCUAGUUGGUGAGGUAACGGCUCACCAAGGCUAGACGGGUAGCUGGUCUGAGAGGACGACCAGCCACACUGGAACUGAGACACGGUCCAGACACCUACGGGUGGCAGCAGUCGAGAAUUUUUUCUCAAUGGGCGAAAGCCUGAAGGAGCGACGCCGCGUGGGGGAUGAAUGGCUUCGGCCCGUAAACCCCUGUCAUUUGCGAUCAAACCUCACGACCUAACACGUCGUGAGCUGAUAGUAGCGGAAGAGGAAGGGACGGCUAACU